AUUUCGUCCCUUGAGCUUUUUCACCUCUAGCAAUACUGAUAAGGAGUGUUUAAGAACGAACUAUCUUGUAACCAAAAUGAUGCCUUCGUUUAAAAAAUGUCUGCCAAUUAACCAUGUAUAUAUAGAAGAAAAGAAAGAUUGAAUAUGAGACAGCAAAGAGUGAACAUGAAAAUGUUUCCAAAGUUGAAAAGAUACUUGGGUGAGAAGAAAUGGGAUGUAACAGAAGAGUGAUCCUAGGAUUGAAAUAGAAAAAGAGAUUGGUAGGGGAGCUAAUUGAAAUAGAGAAAGAGAUUGGGAGAAACAAUGCAGAAGUUGGAAGCAGGAAAGAACCAUUUAGUCAUUUACCAGUAGUGAUAUAUCACCGGACUGGUAGGGUGAAAGAGUUGGAGACAAACAAUGCUGUCCUUCAUUUUUAUCUCCUAGAAAGUAGAAACCCAAUAGGCCCGGCCCUGGCCCAGUGUCAGCUGUGCGACCGCAUUAGGCCCAAGUAGAAAGAGGGCCCAUGAACGCAGACCUUUCACAUAUAAAAUUAUUAAAAAUGGGAAAAACAUACCUCUUGCGAUUCGAACUACGGUUGUCCAAAUAUAAGGAAAACAACAUAACCAUCUCUACUACAAGUAGAAUCGAUGAUUGUCUUCAUAUUUUAUUUAUUUAUUACUAAAUCUCAUUAUUUUUGCUCAUCAUUUCUUCUCAAUGGCAUUUUUUUUCUUUACAUCAAAUAACCAUUUACUCUUAUUAUCUUAAAUACUUUUGUAUCUGAAUAAAACUACUAAUGAUAUAUAUAUAUAUGACCAGAGCCCUUCUACUUUUGGUCAUAUAUAUAUAUAUAUAUAUAUGACCAGGGCCCUUCUACUAAGGGAUUCAUUUUUUUGACAUAUAUGAGGGAUCAAGCAUUAGACCAACUUUUCAAUCACAUAUCAACAUCUCCACCGUUUAAUAUUUAGAUGUAUAUAUGUAGAUCAUUUCUGCAAAAUUUCAUCCCAUUUGGUGAUCGUUAAGGCUUCGAACUAACUGANNNNNNNNNNNNNNNNNNNNUUCAUCAAAUUUGAAGAUCAUUUGAGCUUUCGUAAUUGUAAUUUACACGAACGGUUCUGUUUGGACAACUUUUGUUCUGUUGAUUUAUUUAAUCUAAUUCGGUACUCAAAUGAUCUUCAAAUUUGAUGAAACUUUGCAGGAAUGAUCUACACACUGUGUUUUAGACAUUGUACGGUUGAGAUGUGGGAAUACGACCUGAAAAUGAGCGAAAUAAGGAGUCCCGCACUUUAAUUUCAAAUAGAGAUCCCUCUCUGGAAGGAAACUGUAUAUAUAUAUAUAUAUCAGGGCCCUUCUACUAAGGGAUCCCUUUUUUUGACAUAUAUGAGGGAUCAAACAUUAAACCAACUUUUCAAUCACAUAUCAACAUCUCCACCGUUCAAUAUUUAGAUGUAUAUAUGUAGAUCAUUUCUGUAAAAUUUCAUCCCAUUUGAUGAUCGUUAAGGCUUCGAACUAACUGAAAUCAAUUGAUGGAUCAAAUCUGCCAAACCUGAACCGUUCAUGCCUAUAAUUUUAAUUCGCAGUUUUGAACACCUUAACGAUCACCAAUUUGGAUGAAAUUUUGCAUAAGUGAUCUACAUAUUAGGACCUAAAAACUGAACGGUUAAGAUUGAAAAAUGUGAUUGAAAAGUAGGUCUAAUGCUUGAUCCCUCAUAUAUGUCAAAAAAAGGGAUCCCUUAGUAGAAGGGCCCUAUAUAUAUGACAAUUAGUAAAACAUUAACAUUAAGAUUCAUCUUGUUCAAGAAAAAAGAAAUAAAUAUUCUUCGAAUUAAAUUUGAAGAAGCCCUGAUCUAUACUAAUUCACCUUACACUAUACUAACCUAUUAUCUAACAAUAUAUAUUUUUUUUCAUAUUUUCAUUUGAAAUACAUUACAUAGUU
rnacentral:lncRNA from 1 species